rnacentral:rRNA from 1 species
UGGGGGAGUAGCCUUUCGAAAGGAAGAUUAAUACCGCAUAAGAUUGUAGUAUCGCAUGAUAUAGCAAUUAAAGGAGCAAUUCGCUAUAAGAUGGACCCGCGUCGCAUUAGCUAGUUGGUGAGGUAAUGGCUCACCAAGGCGACGAUGCGUAGCCGACCUGAGAGGGUGAUCGGCCACAUUGGGACUGAGACACGGCCCAGACUCCUACGGGAGGCAGCAUG